rnacentral:lncRNA from 7 species
GUCCUGCUGCCCCUCGCUGCUGCCGCGGCGCUCGGCGGAUCCGGGAGCGCGCUCCCGUACCUGAGCCCGGCAGCGAGGGAGGGCCGGAGGCGCGCGGCCAUGGCAACGGGCAGCCUCUGCGCGAGAUCUUGGACCAAAGGAUCAUGGGGAAUUACCUGCACACUGAUAUUUAUACAAUGAAAAUUGCAUGCUUUGUGAAAUUCUUGACACGUAAUGCAGUAUCAGCCCUAGGCAAAAUGGUGGAAGGGUUGUUCUUGCACACUGUGAGAGGGAGUGAUGAUUGCCAUUGACUAUGCAAGCACUGUACAUUUCUGAGCAAGAUCAUAAGUCUAUUCAUAAUACCAGUGGAGGUACGAUGUUAUAUUAUGCAAUUUGCUUACCUGUUUUAUUCCUUGCAGUACUGUGGUCUUUUAAAAUCUCCUUGCUAAUAGAUUACAACUUCAUGAAGUUAUAUUGUCAAUUCUGUGUUGAAGGACAAAAGCUGGAUCUUAGGCAGAGCUAUGGUCAUGUCUUUCUUUAAAAAUACCUAAGCUGUCUGAAAAAUGCCUUU